GCAGCACGGGAGCAAUCCUGGUGGCGAGUGGCGAACGGGUGAGUAAUAUAUCGGAACGUGCCCAGUCGUGGGGGAUAACGCAGCGAAAGCUGUGCUAAUACCGCAUACGAUCUAUGGAUGAAAGCGGGGGAUCGCAAGACCUCGCGCGAUUGGAGCGGCCGAUAUCAGAUUAGCUAGUUGGUGGGGUAAAAGCCCACCAAGGCGACGAUCUGUAGCUGGUCUGAGAGGACGACCAGCCACACUGGAACUGAGACACGGUCCAGACUCCUACGGGAGGCAGCAGUGGGGAAUUUUGGACAAUGGGCGCAAGCCUGAUCCAGCAAUGCCGCGUGCAGGAUGAAGGCCUUCGGGUUGUAAACUGCUUUUGUACGGAACGAAACGGCGAGCUCUAAUAAAGCUCGCUAAUGACGGUACCGUAAGAAUAAGCACCGGCUAACUACGUGCCAGCAGCCGCGGUAAUACGUAGGGUGCAAGCGUUAAUCGGAAUUACUGGGCGUAAAGCGUGCGCAGGCGGUGAUGUAAGACAGAUGUGAAAUCCCCGGGCUCAACCUGGGACCUGCAUUUGUGACUGCAUCGCUAGAGUACGGUAGAGGGGGAUGGAAUUCCGCGUGUAGCAGUGAAAUGCGUAGAUAUGCGGAGGAACACCGAUGGCGAAGGCAAUCCCCUGGACCUGUACUGACGCUCAUGCACGAAAGCGUGGGGAGCAAACAGGAUUAGAUACCCUGGUAGUCCACGCCCUAAACGAUGUCAACUGGUUGUUGGGUCUUCACUGACUCAGUAACGAAGCUAACGCGUGAAGUUGACCGCCUGGGGAGUACGGCCGCNANGGUUGAAACUCAAAGGAAUUGACGGGGNNCCGCACAAGCGGUGGAUGAUGUGGUUUAAUUCGAUGCNNCGCGAAAAACCUUACCCNCCUUUGAC
rnacentral:rRNA from 1 species